rnacentral:rRNA from 1 species
CAGUAGCCGCGGUAAUACGUAGGGUGCGAGCGUUGUCCGGAAUCAUUGGGCGUAAAGAGCUCGUAGGCGGCUUGUCGCGUCGGAUGUGAAAGCCCGGGGCUUAACUCCGGGUCUGCAUUCGAUACGGGCAGGCUGGAGUGUGGUAGGGGAGAUCGGAAUUCCUGGUGUAGCGGUGAAAUACGCAGAUAUCAGGAGGAACACCGGUGGCGAAGGCGGAUCUCUGGGCCAUUACUGACGCUGAGGAGCGAAAGCGUGGGGAGCGAACAGGAUUAGAGACCCCGGUAGUCCCUGUCUCUUAUAC